AACGAACGCUGGCGGCAGGCUUAACACAUGCAAGUCGAACGCAUCGCAAGAUGAGUGGCAGACGGGUGAGUAACGCGUGGGAACAUACCCUUUUCUACGGAAUAGCUCUGGGAAACUGGAAUUAAUACCGUAUACGCCCUACGGGGGAAAGAUUUAUCGGGGAAGGAUUGGCCCGCGUUGGAUUAGGUAGGUGGUGGGGUAAAGGCCUACCAAGGCGACGAUCCAUAGCUGGUCUGAGAGGAUGAUCAGCCACAUUGGGACUGAGACACGGCCCAAACUCCUACGGGAGGCAGCAGUGGGGAAGAUUGGACAAUAGGCGCAAGCCUGAUCCAGCCAUGCCGCGUGAGUGAUGAAGGCCUUAGGGUUGUAAAGCUCUUUCACCGAUGAAGAUAAUGACGGUAGUCGGAGAAGAAGCCCCGGCUAACUUCGUGCCAGCCGCCGCCGUAA
rnacentral:rRNA from 1 species